rnacentral:misc_RNA from 1 species
AACCUAGCACACCUGCGGUGUGUACCUGCGGAGGGAUCAUUACCUAGAGUUGUAGGCUUUGCCUGCUAUCUCUUACCCAUGUCUUUUGAGUACCUUACGUUUCCUCGGUGGGCUCGCCCACCGAUUGGACAAAUUUAAACCCUUUGCAGUUGAAAUCAGCGUCUGAAAAAACUUAAUAGUUACAACUUUCAACAAUGGAUCU